rnacentral:rRNA from 1 species
ACAUACGUUAAAGGGCCGCGGUAUUUUGACCGUGCGAAGGUAGCAUAAUCAUUAGUCUUUUAAUUGGAGGCUUGUAUGAAUGGUUGGACAAAAAAUAAGCUGUCUCUGUUUUAUUUCUUGAAUUUAACUUUUAAGUGAAAAGGCUUAAAUGUUCUAGGGGGACGAUAAGACCCUAUAAAGCUUUACAGUGUGUUAAUUAAAUUAUAAAUUGUUAGUAUAAACUUGGUUUGGUUAGUAGCUGUUUCGUUGGGGCGACGAAAAUAUAAUUGAUAGUAACUGUUUUUCUUUUAUAAUAACAAUAAAUUUUUGGUAGAAAUUGAUCCUUUAUUAAAGAUUAAAAGAUUAAGUUACUUUAGGGAUAACAGCGUAAUCUUCUUUGAGAGUUCAUAUCGACAAGAAGGGUUGCGACCUCGAUGUUGAAUUAAGGUUUCC